rnacentral:rRNA from 1 species
UUUGAUCAUGGCUCAGGAUGAACGCUAGCUACAGGCUUAACACAUGCAAGUCGAGGGGCAGCAUGAGCUUAGCUUGCUAAGCUUGAUGGCGACCGGCGCACGGGUGAGUAACGCGUAUCCAACCUUCCCUUAGUAGGGCAUAGCCCGGUGAAAAUCGGAUUAAUACCCUAUGUUCUUCACAGCGGGCAUCUAACGUGAAGCAAAGGUUCACCGCUAAGGGAUGGGGAUGCGUCUGAUUAGGUAGUCGGCGGGGUAACGGCCCACCGAGCCAUCGAUCAGUAGGGGUUCUGAGAGGAAGGUCCCCCACAUUGGAACUGAGACACGGUCCAAACUCCUACGGGAGGCAGCAGUGAGGAAUAUUGGUCAAUGGUCGAGAGACUGAACCAGCCAAGUAGCGUGCCAGGAUGACGGCCCUAUGGGUUGUAAACUGCUUUUAUGCGGGGAUAAAGUCACCCACGUGUGGGUGUUUGCAGGUACCGCAUGAAUAAGGACCGGCUAAUUCCGUGCCAGCCGCCGC